GAUUUGAGUAGUUAUUCCAAUGCACUGUGUUUAUUGAAAAGUUAUCAGAAACUUUUCAAGUUUGAAAUCAACUUGUUUGAUAGUGGUGUCACUGGUACAUUUCCAUGAGACUUUGUCUGCUUUCACUUCUUUGGUAGGAUGAAGAGGUGACUUAAUAGUGGCCUUUAUCUUAUCUAGGUUUUCUUCUAGAAGGCAAUCCUCACUCGUUAGCAUUUUGCCAUCUCAUGGUUGGGAAGGCUUCUGAGUAUUAGAUUUUGGAAGGUUGCUGAUAACUUUAAUGAACUUCAAGAAUCUUUCUGUUUUCUGCUUUCUCAUUUCAAAACUGUUUGAAAAGGUAUCUUUAUCAUUU
rnacentral:misc_RNA from 1 species